GUGGGGAAUAUUGGGCAAUGGGGGAAACCCUGACCCAGCAACGCCGCGUGAAGGAAGAAGGUUUUCGGAUUGUAAACUUCUGUCCUAAGGGAAGAAAGAAAUGACGGUACCUUAGGAGGAAGCCCCGGCUAACUACGUGCCAGCAGCCGCGGUAAUACGUAGGGGGCAAGCGUUGUCCGGAAUUAUUGGGCGUAAAGGGUGCGUAGGCGGCCGAUCAAGUCAGGUGUGAAAGACCCGUGCUUAACAUGGGGGUUGCACUUGAAACUGGUUGGCUUGAGUAUGGGAGAGGCAAGCGGAAUUCCCGGUGUAGCGGUGAAAUGCGUAGAGAUCGGGAGGAACACCAGUGGCGAAGGCGGCUUGCUGGACCAAAACUGACGCUGAGGCACGAAAGCGUGGGUAGCAAACAGGA
rnacentral:rRNA from 1 species